UCUCGGGGUGUUUUUCCUCACCGCUCCAUGUGGUCCUAAGUGGAAAGAGUCCUGUUCAGGGAAUCGAGACACCUCGUGAAAGUACCACUGCCAUGAAAGCAUGAUUAUAAUAAUAGUCGUUGGAUGCCUCUGCUUUCUUACCUGUACGAUGAAGGGUUUGGAUGAUUUCUAUUACUGCCCCCAUUUUACAGGAUUUAAGAGGGGUGCAGAUCCCGGAAUGCCUGAACCAACUGUUUUGAGCCUACUUUGGGGAUAAAGGAUUAUUUGGUCUUCUGGAUUUGGAGGCAAUCAGCGGACAGCAUGGAAGAUGUGUGCUCUGGCUCGGAUAAGAGAUGGGACAUCAUUCAGUCACUAGUUGGAUGGCACAAGGCUCUUCACAGACGCAUCUGUAGCAGAGUGGAACUUGUACUAACUUAUGAUAGAAUGUAUCAGAAUAAAUGUUUUUAACAGUGUUA
rnacentral:lncRNA from 10 species